AGGCAGCAGGCGCGCAAAUUACCCAAUCCUAAUACAGGGAGGUAGUGACAAGAAAUAACAAUACAGGACUUUUUGGUUUUGUAAUUGGAAUGAGUUAAGUAUAAACCCCUUUACAAGUAUCAAUUGGAGGGCAAGUCUGGUGCCAGCAGCCGCGGUAAUUCCAGCUCCAAUAGCGUAUAUUAAAGUUGUUGCAGUUAAAAAGCUCGUAGUUGGAUUUCUGUUAAUAAUUUAUAUAAUA
rnacentral:rRNA from 1 species